rnacentral:tRNA from 1 species
CGUGGUGUAGCCAGCUUGGUAGAGCACCUGCUGCUUUGGGAGCAGGAUGUCGCAGGUUCGAAUCCUCUCACCCCGA